UAGGGAAUCUUCGGCAAUGGGGGGAACCCUGACCGAGCAACGCCGCGUGAGUGAAGAAGGUUUUCGGAUCGUAAAGCUCUGUUGUUAAGGAAGAACGAGUGUGAGAAUGGAAAGUUCAUGCUGUGACGGUACUUAACCAGAAAGGGACGGCUAACUACGUGCCAGCAGCCGCGGUAAUACGUAGGUCCCGAGCGUUGUCCGGAUUUAUUGGGCGUAAAGCGAGCGCAGGCGGUUAGAUAAGUCUGAAGUUAAAGGCAGUGGCUCAACCAUUGUAGGCUUUGGAAACCGUUUAUCUUGAAGGCAGAAAGGGGGGGGGGAAUUCCAUGUGUUGCGGUGAAAUGCGUAAAUAUAAGGAGGAACACCGGGGGCGAAAGCGGCUCUCUGGUCUGUAACUGGCGCUGAAGCUCGAAAACGUGGGGAGCGAACAGG
rnacentral:rRNA from 1 species